UAACGAAUAUUCCGCAAUGGACGAAAGUCUGACGGAGCAAUGCCGCGUGCAGGAUGAAGCGGUUUCGCCGUGUAAACUGCUGUCAGGGGCAGGAAAAACUGAUCCGCCCCCAAAGGAAGAGACGGCUAACCCUGUGCCAGCAGCCGCGGUAAUACAGGGGUCUCGAGCGUUAAUCGGAAUCACUGGGCUUAAAGGGUGCGUAGGCGGAUCCGUAAGCGCUUUGUGAAAUCCCCCGGCUCAACCGGGGAACUGCAGGGCGAACUGCGGAUCUUGAGGAAACUAGAGGCCGGUAGAACGAUUGGUGGAGCGGUGGAAUGCGUAGAUAUCAAUCGGAAUGCCAAAAGUGAAGACAGCCGGCUGGGGUUUUCCUGACGCUGAGGCACGAAAGCGUGGGGAGCAAACCGGAUUAGAUACCCCGGUAGUCCCUGAGCGGGCUGGCAAGGCGCAU
rnacentral:rRNA from 1 species